GAGCAGAGGAUUCUAGGUGAAAAUGUGAUCAGUUUCACUCAGCCCAGACCUUUUGAAGCCCUUCUGGAAAUAGGUUCUGGGAGCAUCACCCCCCUUCCGGAAGGAGCCAUGACUGUCACACGUGUACGUGGGCAUCUAGCAUUUCUCAGAAGCUCCCAGUGCAAGCUUGAUCACAGGAGCUGCCUUACAGGCCACAUCGGCCCUCGAAAAACAACAUGCUGACCAACAUGCAGAAGAACUAUUUAUUAGGACAGAAAGCCCCGAAGCCAGAGAAAAAAGGCUGAUUCCAGAAAAGUAGCGCCUGCAGGGCCGGGAGUGGAGAGGAAGAAGGAAGCCAGGCGUCUAGGCGCUGAGUCUAGGCAGCAGCAGCAAAGCCCACCCUGUUGUUGCCAAUGUCGAAGAUGGAAUAGUAGGACCUGAGGAAGACGCCCCCGAGGAUCCACAGGGACUGGCCACUGCUGGAGGGCAGGUUCUCCGGCUAAACUCCCAUCAGACUCAGGUCUGAGAGCUUCCAGGCCAAGUCAGAGCCCCGGGGACAACUCCCACAUCCUGGGGCACAGAGUGGCCUGCAGCCCAGCUCACCCUCAGAGUGUCAUAGCCGUAGACGCCACGGAGGCUGCCGCUGCCAUACUGCACGGAGAAGGUCUGCCCGUGGCCGGAGAGACACGCGCUGAGAACUUAGUAAGCAGUGGAGUGGAGUGACAUGGAAAGACUGUUGUCGACUUUGGUGAGACGGAAUGGCGUCGUCUGCAGGGAACAGAAUGGAGCAGAGCAGAGUGGGAUGGAUGGAGCCGGGGGGCAGAGGGCAGACUGGAGCAGGUGAAGGAGCAUGUGUUGGUGAGAGGGGAGACAAACAGACCACCCAGGCCUAGGGCCAGCCUCUUCCUUCGGUCUUGCACAUGCCCCUUAACCCUGGCCAAGUCCCUGACUCUCAGGAUUGAAGCCCCCAUGCCCCACCAUCCCUACCAUGCUUGCCCCUUCCCCCAAGGUGGUCCGCACCCUCCCUUGCCAACCACUCUCCCUAGCGAGCCCUGCACUUACCACAGGCCUGGCUCUGGCACUGGACCGAGGGCACCCACAGGCUGGAGGAUCCGGUAUCAAAAAGGACCAGAAAGUUCUGCGGUGGGGUCCCGAUGGCGAUUUCUCCAAGGCACAGUGGAAGUUGGCCUGGGUGGUCUGGAGCCCAGAUCCGCCCUGGAAUUAGAACUGAUGAAGUCUGCACUUCUGCCCCCGUCUCCCUCGGGUUCUCCUCCUCCAAGACCUGCUUGCUGCCAUCGCCUCGGGGGUCUCUGUGGGUCCACCCAGGCUCGUUCUGGACUCCAGAAGUCCUGCUCCUUGCAUUUCUUUCCCCACCUGAUUCCCCAUUCCCUCAAGACCCCGCAUUCGCCCCCCAUUCUGCACGGAACCCAUUCACGUUGAGCUUUGAAGACUGAUGGUUGCUCGGGCUCGCCGCUUCCCCGGAACUUGCGUAUCACACACAGAUUUCUUCGAGGAGCCUUGUCUUCAGCAGAGGCAUCGGUCCUCAUGGGUGAGACGGGCAGCCGUGUGCAGGCCAGGCACCCUCCCAGGUCCUGGGAGCCACGCCUCCUCGCUCCCUUUCUCCUGACAUCUCUGCGAGUGCACGUAACGUUCCUGCUGUCUCUGCUUACAUGCCUUUGCCAUCUGCUAAAUAAAUCAUGGGCCUUAAGGGA